AACGUAGGAGACAAACGUUAUCCGGAGUUACUGGGCGUAAAGGGCGUGUAGGUGGUUUCGUAAGUCUGGCGUGAAAUUUCUCGGCUUAACCGAGGCAGGUCGUCGGAUACUGCGGAACUUGAGGACGGUAGAGGCGUGUGGAAUUCCGGGUGUAGUGGUGAAAUGCGUAGAGAUCCGGAGGAACACCAGUGGCGAAGGCGACACGCUGGGCCGUACCUGACACUGAUGCGCGACAGCAUGGGGGAGCAAACAGG
rnacentral:rRNA from 1 species